UACGAAGGGUGCAAGCGUUAAUCGGAAUUACUGGGCGUAAAGCGUGCGUAGGCGGUUUCUUAAGUCUGCUGUGAAAUCCCCGGGCUCAACCUGGGAAUGGCGAUGGAUACUGGCGAGCUAGAGUGUGUCAGAGGAUGGUGGAAUUCCCGGUGUAGCGGUGAAAUGCGUAGAGAUCGGGAGGAACAUCAGUGGCGAAGGCGGCCAUCUGGGACAACACUGACGCUGAAGCACGAAAGCGUGGGGAGCAAACAGG
rnacentral:rRNA from 1 species